ensembl:lncRNA
CACCAGUAAGCCCCAGGGAAUACUUCAAAGUAAUUGUCAGUAUGCUGUUUAUUAUACUAGUAAUUUCAGUUUAUACACCAAGGCAAAAACAGGUUCGAAAUGCACGAGGCGACAGACGGGAUUCCAGUUCAAGAAUGUUUAUUAACAACUGAGGGAAGGGAGAGUGGGAGUGAAGAGGUGGAUCAUGAAAUAACCUGCAACGAGACUGACAAGUUAGCAAGAUACAAAAAUAUAUUUAUUGAAUAUCAUUUAUGUCAGUAAGGCUAAAACAGGGAAACUAGUAGACUAGAGUCUAGGCAGUGCUAAGUAGGACUUACCUGAGGGAGGCAGACUAGCAGACGGCGUGCUCUUGGAUCCACACCGCUCACACGUGCACACACACUCAAAGAAGUGGUUAUAAGGUGAACUAUGACACGGCAAGCAACCCACAGCACACUGCACACACAGCACAAUCACGGCACACCCACAGCACACUAACCAGCUUGAUACACCCGCAUGCAGUGACAGGGGCCCACCACCAGGUGCCUAGCCUCCCUCUGGAAGCACCUAGCAACUGCUUAACAAAUAAAAUGAAAACAAUUAUUGCACCAGGGGAUAUCAACAGUCCAUCCUAAGCAUGAAACACUCAGACAGUAAUAGCAAUCAUGUAUCGAGGCUAACUACAGACCAGAACAAACAACAAGCAUGCACCAGGACAGCUACAGCGCCACCAGCCUUAUGCCCAGUCACAUGCAGACAGAAAACACACUAGACAGAAGCAUUACUCCAUUGGAGUGGACAAGAUGGUACAAUGCUCAGACAAAAAGAACAUAACAAAGAAAACGAAAACCCAGCUCAGAUAUAUGUCAGACCAGCAUGCACAACAACAGUUUGGCAGAGUCACGAGCAUGCUGAAUCACACACGCAUUGUCAGGCUUAAACAAAACAGCAGCACCUUUGUGAUCAGGCAGUUAUCAGACAGUUAUCAGACAGUUAUCAGACGGUUAUCACAGGAACGACAAGGUCAGCGGCGAAGUACGGUUCCUCACUAAUAAACAGAUGCGCUAAUUAGAGCCAGUGUGAAAAGAGGCUACUCCUCCAGCGUUAAUGAAAAUAGGAAAGGCAUACCUGAACAUGCAGGGACAAGGACAUACCGAAGGCGAGCGUCAGAGGGAAGGCUAGGAAUACAGGGCUACAAAACAAACACGAAAAGGUAAGCCCAAAAGUAAUGGGUAAAAGUUGUACCACUCGCCAGCAAACAAACACCUACCCGGCAAAUCAGGAAAGCACCUCAACAGGAGAAGGGGUGUGGUUACAGACACCGUAAUGCACGCACACAACGUCUGGUCCUUUUAUCUCCAUCUAAGUGGAGGUUAUCAGUGACUAGGCUGACGAUAGUUGGGCUGAUUGAAUGUGAAUGUAAAAGCAGGGAGUGUAGGUGUAACAACACCACCCUACCACAUGGGGGUGUUCUUUUUAUGACUCUAGGACAAAAACUUGCGGAGCUUUAAAGGCAUAUUGACAGCAAGAACAAAAAAAUAUUUCCCCACCGGUAAUGUUCUGGUUUCUUAUGGUGUCAUUAUUACCUGUUUUUAAUGUGUAAAUGGCGG